GAUGAACGCUGGCGGCGUGCCUAAUACAUGCAAGUCGAGCGAACAGAUAAGGAGCUUGCUCCUUUGACGUUAGCGGCGGACGGGUGAGUAACACGUGGGUAACCUACCUAUAAGACUGGGAUAACUUCGGGAAACCGGAGCUAAUACCGGAUAACAUUUGGAACCGCAUGGUUCUAAAGUGAAAGAUGGUUUUGCUAUCACUUAUAGAUGGACCCGCGCCGCAUUAGCUAGUUGGUAAGGUAACGGCUUACCAAGGCGACGAUACGUAGCCGAUCAGAGAGGGAGAUCGGACAAACUGGAACUGAGACACGGUCCAGACUCCUACGGGAAGCAGCAGUAGGGAAUCUUCCGCAAUGGGCGAAAGGCUGACGAAGCAACGCCGCGUGAGUGAUGAAGGGUUUCGGCUCGUAAAACUCUGUUAUUAGGGAAGAACAAAUGUGUAAGUAACUGUGCACGUCUUGACGGUACCUAAUCAGAAAGCCACGGCUAACUACGUGCCAGCCGCCGCCGUAA
rnacentral:rRNA from 1 species